rnacentral:tRNA from 1 species
GUUACUGUAGCUUAAAACAAAGCGCGGCCCUGAAGUUGCCGUGACGGAACCACCCAAAAUCCCGGAAACA